AGAAUCAACGCUGGCGACGUGCCUAACACAUGCAAGUCGAACGAGAAAGUGGAGCAAUCCAUGAGUAAAGUGGCGACCGGGUGAGUAACACGUGACCAAUCUACCCUUGAGUGGGGGAUAACCUCGGGAAACCGGGCUAAUACCGCAUAAUAUCUUCGGAACGGAAGUACUGAAGAUCAAAGGAGCAAUUCGCUUAAGGAGGAGGUCGCGGCUGAUUAGCUAGUGGCGGGUAAUGGCCCACCAAGGCAAAGAUCGGUA
rnacentral:rRNA from 1 species